UAUCCCUCGCGCUCCCUCUGAUGAGCGCGUGGUCCCGGUCGCGAGCACAUGGAAUGAGGUCGAGAUUUGUGUCUGUGAGACACGCGACUGAUCAUCAGCAGCAGCUACAGCAGCAGCAGCAGAGAAAACAAACAAACAAUCGGAAUAAAAGCACCGGAGCUGCGACAGAACCGAUCCCGAACACGAAGGGUUGGCGCUGCAGACUCCCUGAUGCUGCUGCUGGACUCCACGACAAGUGCAGAUAUUGAUCAGCAUAAUGAGGAGGCAAAGGUGGAAGCAGCCGGUGUCGGAUUCGGUUUCACUGCAUCCAUUAAGAUGCGGUGGAAUUGAAUGGACACACACACACACACGCACACACACACACACUCAGACAUGCACAUGACAGGGUUUUUAAUACUAUCUACUUCCCCCUUUCUGUUAGAGGACACAGAUACACCCUGAAUGGGCCCCCGUGGUCCUUCACACUGUGGUCGGGAAGUACCUAGUUUUACAACUGUCAUGCUGCAGUGCUCUUAAAGGCGCAGCCGAUCACACUGAGCACUUUCCACUCACCUUAACAAGGGGGUCAAGUUGUUUGAGUUCAUUCCAAAGAGCUUAACUGAAAUCACCUUAAAGGAGAUGAUAUUCAUUUGUCAUAUUGUGAAUGAAAAUAAAACGUGUUUCACUUGUAAUAAAGCUCAUUUAAAGCUAGGGUCUGUAAGUCUAGACCACAGUACAGAAAACAGACCGCAGUUGCAAGUGACACAGUUUUCGGUGGUGUGGCUCCCGUGAGUAGCUGGGGUUUGUUCAAUGUUGACUACUGCACUCUGGAGCUGGGUCAUACUUUCCGUGUCUGCAGAGCGCUGCUUCGUAUUUCAGCAUGCGCGUACAUGGCUGCAGUCCCGUUCGUACUAAAAUAAGGGUCUGUGUCGGCCAUUGCGUUCCAGUAGUGAUGAUCGCGCUCGCUACUUUUUACUACGUUGGGGUCGCGGUGGACGUGCUCGCAUAACUUCAUGCUAGUGUCCAUGGUUACUGUGCAUGCUCCACGCCCUGAAAGUGCUUCAACUCUACACAAAAAAGAAGUUAUAUUUGUUACGACGCCACCUACUGUUUCUUGCCCCGCGUUGCUUGAUGUACUAGGCCUACGCAGAGCCUGGGAAAUGAAAAUUCCUAGACCGAAGAAAAUUAUGAAGACUAACUUUGACCAAGAUCCCGAGGACAGUCGCAUGUCCAGAUCAAUAAAAGAGAACGCCGUGGGUGAAAUCUUAAACUGUCAGCACAUUUGCCCUGGAUUUUGAGGGAAUUGGUCCUGGAAAGUGCUUGAAAAUUCCUUGAAUUUGUUGUCAACCAAAGUGUGGGAACCUUGCUGACAGCUGCCGCACAGAAUAAUACAUCCCACUCGCUCCUCUUAGAACGAGAAUCAGAAGUCUGCCAUUUAUUUCAUGACUUCUUGAGUGGUACAUCAGACGAUUAUUCACUGUGGUCCAAAUGAAAUGAUAUGAUUAGGACAACUAAAAUAAGGGGACAGACCCUAGCUUUAAGUUGUGUUCCUGGUCAAACUUUUCCAAAUGACUUGUACUGUAUUUUUAUUUGAAUACAUCAUGCAUUUUCUGUUUUGUGGCAUCUGAAUAAAAUUUUCUGCCUGACAGAUGUUUAUACUGUG